UGCCAGCCGCCGCGGUAAUAUGGAGGGGGUUAGCGUUGUUCGGAAUUACUGGGCGUAAAGCGCACGUAGGCGGAUUAGAAAGUUGGGGGUGAAAUCCCAGGGCUCAACCCUGGAACUGCCUCCAAAACUACUAGUCUUGAGUUCGAGAGAGGUGAGUGGAAUUCCGAGUGUAGAGGUGAAAUUCGUAGAUAUUCGGAGGAACACCGGUGGCGAAGGCGGCUUCCUGGACACUAACUGACGCUGAGACGCGAAAGCGUGGGGAGCAAACAGGAUUAGAUA
rnacentral:rRNA from 1 species